AGUGAACGCUGGCGGUAGGCCUAACACAUGCAAGUCGAACGGCAGCACAGUAAGAGCUUGCUCUUACGGGUGGCGAGUGGCGGACGGGUGAGGAAUACAUCGGAAUCUACUUUUUCGUGGGGGAUAACGUAGGGAAACUUACGCUAAUACCGCAUACGACCUACGGGUGAAAGCAGGGGAUCUUCGGACCUUGCGCGAUUGAAUGAGCCGAUGUCGGAUUAGCUAGUUGGCGGGGUAAAGGCCCACCAAGGCGACGAUCCGUAGCUGGUCUGAGAGGGUGAUCAGCCACCCUGGAACUGAGACACGGUCCAGACUCCUACGGGAGGCAGCAGUGGGGAAUAUUGGACAAUGGGCGCAAGCCUGAUCCAGCCACACCGCGUGGGUGAAGAAGGCCUUCGGGUUGUAAAGCCCUUUUGUUGGGAAAGAAAAGCAGCAGGUUAAUACCCCGCUGUUCUGACGGUACCCAAAGAAUAAGCACCGGCUAACUUCGU
rnacentral:rRNA from 1 species